UCAUGCUCAAUGAUUCGCACACAACCGUUCAAAUUAGCAAUUAUAAGAUGAUUCCGCACAUAGUCCACCCUUAUCGAUAAUUUACGAUGGUUUUGCCCUUACUCACAUAAAUGACAUAGGCAUUUUCACCUAUGCUUCUCAUUUCACAUUCAUGAUUCAAUUCCAAUCGAUCUAACAUGCAUAAGAAUAUAUCACAUACCUGGCCAACUUAAUGCAUUGAACAAAUUCAAUUGUCGAUUUAACACAAGGUCUCAUAGUCUUAGACUUUUAUCAAAUCACCGGCAUUUAGCCUGCUAGGUUUUAAACCCGAUAAUAUUAUUCACCAGCUUAAAGCUUGCUAGGCUCAAAG
rnacentral:lncRNA from 1 species